CUGCAUGAUGGAGCUGAACCUGGUCCACCUUGAACCUGGAUAUGCCACCUGAUGCAUUUACUUAUGUUUUAGAAAUUGCAGAAUUGUUUAUAAUGAAAUCGUAUGAAAAUGUUACGGUUCAAAAAUCAUGAAUCUUCUUUCAGAACUACCUCCUAAUGUGUUGUGUCUACUUCUGUAGGCAGAAACCAAAUGAUGUGUUUGCUUUGUUCAGAAUACCGUCUACCUCCUAGUGUGUUAUGCCUACUUCAGAAACCAAAUGAUGUGUUUGCUUUCUUUGAAUACCGUCUAAUUGAACCUGCAUCCCUCACCAAAAUUUGUUGGCGAAG
rnacentral:lncRNA from 1 species